CAACUGAAACCACAUCAAGAAAAACUGAAUUUUAUCAUCACGGUUCCAAAGGGCACCAGGGAUUUAAGUCCUCAACAGAUGGUUGUGAAGGAGAAAAUUCUUGAUAAGAUGUUUUAAAAGUCAUGGGGCAAAGAGGUUGGAUAUGCCAGCAUUUGAGCUAAAAGAUUUUGACACUGCUAGUGAGUUUGACUCAAUGAUCUCUGAUGCAGUGUCUGAAGAUCAUGUGUGAAGUCCUAAGUGGACUGAAACUGGAGGACUUUCUCAUUAUGGUAAAUGAUUGUCAGGUUGUAGACAGGAUAUUUUCUGUCUGUGAUGUUCCUGAAAGCAAGCUCUGUAUCAUUUGCUCCUCAAUGGACAAACUAGACAAGAUGUCUUGGGAAGACAUGAGGCAUGAGAUGAUGGCAAAGAAAGGACUAGAACCUGAGGUGGCCAGUUGAAUUGGGGACUACAUCCAAUAUCCCUGGUAGAGGAGAUGUUCAAGGAUCCCAAAUUAUCCCAAAGCUAGCUGGCCUUGCAGGGCCUAGAGGACCAGAUGCUGCUCUUUGAAUACCUGAGUUUAUUUGGAAUUGCUGAUAAGAUCUCCUUUGAUCUGAGUCUGGACUAGGGCCUGGACUGUUAUACAAGAGUGGUUUAUGAAGCAGUACUGCUUGAGUCUCCAGCUCAGGCCAGAAAAGAGACUGAGUGUGGGAAGUGUGGCUGCUGGCAGGUGCUAUAACAGGCUGGUAGCCCAGUUUGAUCCCAAGGGUCAUAAUGUGCCUUAUGUGGGAUUGAUCAUUGGAGUAGAGAGAAUCUUCUACCUUGUGGAGCAGAAGAUGAAGAUUUCUGGUGAGAAGGUUCGAACCACAGAGACCCAAGUGUUUGUGGACACGCCCCAGAACAACUUUCUUUGAGAACAUUUGAAGAUAAUUGCAGAACUUUGGGAUGCAGGGAUCAAGGCAGAGAUGCUUUAUAAAACAACCCCAAACUCUAACCCAGCUGCACUAUUGUGAGAAAACAGACAUUCCUCUGAUGGUCACUGUUGGUAAACAAGAACAGAAUGAAGGUGUCAUCAAGCUUCGUUCAGUGGCCAGCAGAGGGGAAGUGACCAUUAAUCAAGAAAUUCUUGUGGGUGAAAUUCAGAAGGGACUGUCUGAGUCUUGAUUAGUGCCUGAUUUCCAUCUGCUGCCCUUAGAAGAAAAGUUUUCAUC